rnacentral:rRNA from 1 species
GUCUACAGGCAUACCACCCUAAACAUGCCCAAUCUCAUCGGAUCUCAGUAGAUAAGUAGGGUCAGGCCUGGUUAAUACUUGGCUAGGAGACAAAUCUUCAGAGGAGGCCGCUCAGGGACAAACAGUUUGGAGAUA